rnacentral:tRNA from 1 species
GGGCUUAUAGUACAGUGGCAGUACGCCGCAUUCGCAUUGCGGAGACGCGAGUUCGACUCUCGCUAAGUCCA